rnacentral:rRNA from 1 species
GAGACACACGGCGGGUGCUAACGUCCGUCGUGAAGAGGGAAACAACCCAGACCGCCAGCUAAGGUCCCAAAGUCACAGUUAAGUGGGAAACGAUGUGGGAAGGCUCAGACAGCCAGGAUGUUGGCUUAGAAGCAGCCAUCAUUUAAAGAAAGCGUAAUAGCUCACUGGUCGAGUCGGCCUGCGCGGAAGAUGUAACGGGGCUAAACUGUGCACCGAAAGCUGCGGCAGCGACACUAUGUGUUGUUGGGUAGGGGAGCGUUCUGUAAGCCGUUGAAGGUGGCCUGUGAGGGUUGCUGGAGGUAUCAGAAGUGCGAAUGCUGACAUAAGUAACGAUAAUGCGGGUGAAAAACCCGCACGCCGGAAGACCAAGGGUUCCUGUCCAACGUUAAUCGGGGCAGGGUGAGUCGACCCCUAAGGCGAGGCCGAAAGGCGUAGUCGAUGGGAAACAGGUUAAUAUUCCUGUACUUGGUGUUACUGCGAAGGGGGGACGGAGAAGGCUAUGUUAGCCGGGCGACGGUUGUCCCGGUUUAAGCAUGUAGGCGGAGAGUUUAGGUAAAUCCGGACUCUUACUAACGCUGAGGUGUGAUGACGAGGCACUACGGUGCUGAAGUAACAAAUGCCCUGCUUCCAGGAAAAGCCUCUAAGCAUCAGGUAACAUCAAAUCGUACCCCAAACCGACACAGGUGGUCAGGUAGAGAAUACCAAGGCGCUUGAGAGAACUCGGGUGAAGGAACUAGGCAAAAUGGUGCCGUAACUUCGGGAGAAGGCACGCUGAUAUGUAGGUGAAGUGAUUUACUCAUGGAGCUGAAAUCAGUCGAAGAUACCAGCUGGCUGCAACUGUUUAUUAAAAACACAGCACUGUGCAAACACGAAAGUGGACGUAUACGGUGUGACGCCUGCCCGGUGCCGGAAGGUUAAUUGAUGGGGUUAGCGGCAACGCGAAGCUCUUGAUCGAAGCCCCGGUAAACGGCGGCCGUAACUAUAACGGUCCUAAGGUAGCGAAAUUCCUUGUCGGGUAAGUUCCGACCUGCACGAAUGGCGUAAUGAUGGCCAGGCUGUCUCCACCCGAGACUCAGUGAAAUUGAACUCGCUGUGAAGAUGCAGUGUACCCGCGGCAAGACGGAAAGACCCCGUGAACCUUUACUAUAGCUUGACACUGAACACUGGUCCUUGAUGUGUAGGAUAGGUGGGAGGCUUUGAAGUGUGGACGCCAGUCUGCAUGGAGCCAACCUUGAAAUACCACCCUUUAAUGGCUGGUGUUCUAACGUAGACCCGUAAUCCGGGUUGCGGACAGUGUCUGGUGGGUAGUUUGACUGGGGCGGUCUCCUCCUAAAGAGUAACGGAGGAGCACGAAGGUUAGCUAAUCCUGGUCGGACAUCAGGAGGUUAGUGCAAUGGCAUAAGCUAGCUUGACUGCGAGAGUGACGGCUCGAGCAGGUGCGAAAGCAGGUCAUAGUGAUCCGGUGGUUCUGAAUGGAAGGGCCAUCGCUCAACGGAUAAAAGGUACUCCGGGGAUAACAGGCUGAUACCGCCCAAGAGUUCAUAUCGACGGCGGUGUUUGGCACCUCGAUGUCGGCUCAUCACAUCCUGGGGCUGAAGUAGGUCCCAAGGGUAUGGCUGUUCGCCAUUUAAAGUGGUACGCGAGCUGGGUUUAGAACGUCGUGAGACAGUUCGGUCCCUAUCUGCCGUGGGCGCUGGAGAAUUGAGGGGGGCUGCUCCUAGUACGAGAGGACCGGAGUGGACGCAUCACUGGUGUUCGGGUUGUCAUGCCAAUGGCAUUGCCCGGUAGCUAAAUGCGGAAAAGAUAAGUGCUGAAAGCAUCUAAGCACGAAACUUGCCCCGAGAUGAGUUCUCCCUGACCCUUUAAGGGUCCUGAAGGAACGUUGAAGACGACGACGUUGAUAGGCUGGGUGUGUAAGCGUAGCGAUACGUUGAGCUAACCAGUACUAAUGAACCGUGAGGCUUAACCUU